AUGGCGACGAUCGGGUGGCCGGACCUCCCGCCCGAGCUUUUGGGCGACGUGCUCUCGCGCUUGCCGUCCUACCUCGAGCACGCCCGCGUUCGCGUCGUGUGCCGCUCCUGGCGCUCCAGCGCGCGGACGCAGCCACCGCCGCCGCCGCUGCUCCCGUGGGCCGGCCUCCGCAACGGCGCCUUCCUCGACCUGGCCGAGGGUGCGCUUGACCGUCUGCCCGUCCCAGAAGCCCACGUCGUCCGCCGGGUCUCCACAGGCCGCCUGCUGUUCCUGGUGCGCCGCGACGGGGCGUGCUCCCCUGAUGGACCCUCACUCCGGCGACAUGACCCCUCAGCACAUCGAGCCCGAGUACCUCUAUGCCCACCUCCAGUUCAGCGACAUCACCCGCCUUGUCGCCGAUAG
rnacentral:rRNA from 1 species